rnacentral:rRNA from 1 species
UACGGAGGGGGCUAGCGUUGUUCGGAAUUACUGGGCGUAAAGCGCACGUAGGCGGAUAGUUAAGUCGGGGGUGAAAUCCCGGGGCUCAACCCCGGAACUGCCUUCGAUACUGGCUGUCUGGAGGUCGAGAGAGGUGAGUGGAAUUCCGAGUGUAGAGGUGAAAUUCGUAGAUAUUCGGAGGAACACCAGUGGCGAAGGCAGCCCCCUGGGCCAAUACUGACGCUCAGGCACGAAAGCGUGGGGAGCAAACAGG